ensembl:lncRNA
GCAGGGUGAGCUGGGGGCAUUGCCUGGUAGUGGUGUGGUAAUGAAGCUCAGUGAUGUCUGUGCUAAGGGCUGCACUCCCCUGUGCUCUGUCACAGGGCUAUGAAUGUCUCCACACACUGAGGCAGGUGAUAUUUUUCAGUGCUGAAGAAAUUUUUUGCAAAAAUCAACAUAUAUUAUCCUAGACAAGUCUUUCAUUCUGAAGCUCUGUUGUUUGCAAAUGAAAAGACAUGGCCCCUGCCUGAUAGGAACUUACAACUUAAAAGAGGAGCAUUCAGAACCAUCUCUCAGAUCAAGAAAUUACCAGUUCACCAGAAACGUGCCUCCCACUUCCCUCCAGUCAUGAUCCUCUCCUUUAGAGACCUACAUUGUUACUCGUCUGAACAAUUGAUGGGGCUCCUCCAUGACCCUGGCUCCUGCUGGACAUCGGGACUCACGCUCCUCCCACACCACUGCUGGUCUGGAAUGACAUCAAACCAGACCCUGUCUACCACACGUGCUUCUAUUAUGAUCACGCAAACACUUUCCCUCAUCACCCAAACACUUGGAAGUUCUCUCUCCUUUGACUCCACAAAGACUUUGCACUUCUCAUCCUCAACUUAUUCCCAUUUUAGUGGUUAUUUAUUCAUUUACACUUUCCAACUUCUCCCUCCCUGAGAGCGUAACUCUAAGACUGUAGCCAGUUACUGUAUCUAUGUUUUGAAGUAGCCGGUCUAGUGGACUCUCAGUAUGUU